UUUCUUGAUUCGGUGGGUGGUGGUGCAUGGCCGUUCUUAGUUGGUGGAGCGAUUUGUCUGGUUAAUUCCGGUAACGAACGAGACUCUAGCCUGCUAAAUAGGCGUCGUCAUUUAGGUGUGCGUGGCUCUGUCACGCAACUCACUGGCGACGUAUUAAAAUUCUUCUUAGAGGGACCGGCGGCUUCGAGCCGCACGAGAUUGAGCAAUAACAGGUCUGUGAUGCCCUUAGAUGUCCUGGGCCGCACGCGCGCUACACUGAAGGAAUCAGCAUGUUCUCCCAGCCUAGAGGCCCGGGCAACCCGUUGAAACUCCUUCGUGCUGGGGAUUGGGGUUUGCAAUUAUCCCCCAUAAACGAGGAAUUCCUAGUAAGCGCGAGUCAUAAGCUCGCGUUGAUUACGUCCCUGCCCUUUGCACACACCGCCCGUCGCUACUACCGAUUGAAUGAUUUAGUGAGGUCUUCGGACCGACACGCGGUGGCUUCACGGCCGUCGGCGUUGCUGGGAAGUUGACCGAACUUGAUCAUUUAGAGGAAGUAAAAGUCGUAACAAGGU
rnacentral:rRNA from 1 species